UAUUUUGACUAUACGAAGGUAUUGAAAUAAGAUUUUAAAUGAGUGCUAAGAGAAUGAUUAAACAAUUAAAAGCUUUCUUUAAUUGAAUAAUUGAAUUUAAUUUUUUAGUGCAAAAGCAAAAAUAAAAAUUAGGGACAAGAAGACCCUAUGAAUUUUUAUUAAAUUUUAUAAAACUUUAUAUAAAAUUUAAUUUAAUUGGGGUGAUGGAAAAAGAAUAAAUAUCUUUUUUUUUAAAAAAAAUUGGUUCCGUUUUUAGCGAUUAAAUGAAAAAAAUACUCUAGGGAUAACAGCGUAAUAAUUUUGGAUAGUUCAUAUAGAUAAAAUAGUUUGCGACCUCGAUGUUGGAUUAGGAUUCUUUUUUGGUGAAGAAGUUAAAAAAAGAAGUUUGUUCAACUUAUAAUUUCCU
rnacentral:rRNA from 1 species